GGUCAUUCCUUCCCUGAUAUUCUUUCCUUCCACAGGAAACCGAGAUCGACAGCAUUCACCAGUUAGUUGUGGGGGCAACUGAAAAUAUUAAGGAAGGCAACGAAGACAUACGAGAGGCCAUCAAAAACAACGCAGGCUUCCGAGUGUGGAUCCUCUUCUUCCUCGUGAUGUGUUCCUUUUCCUUGCUCUUCCUCGACUGGUAUGACAGCUAGCCCACCAGGGCCUGGCCUGCACCACUGCCCUGGACAGACCACGUGCCAGCGUGUGCCUCAUCUGCUGUGGGGUUGCGUAAGGCCCAAGGGCUGGGAAAGCAUGGCCCCCAAACCAACCUGUGCACCUCAGGACCUGGAAAUACAUGGACUGCCAGUGCCCUGUAUGCUCUUCAGGGUGCAAGAUAAAGGUAGUCAGGAGCUGCACUGUCAGGACAGGCCACAUGCAUGGUGGAGGCUGAGCAACGCAAGGAUACAGCACGCCUCCUGUCCCCAUCUCCUGCCUUUCCCACACCAGUAGCUUCAGGGAAGAACAUGCCUACUGUUUCUAAAAUCGUUAGUUCUUAUUUCCUUGUGGCAUCUAAUGUGUGCCGGCUUAUAUGUGGCCGAUAUGUGGCUGAUAUAUUUUGUCACCAUUUUGUCACAGAAAAUAUUCACAUCUGCCUUGUCAAGCUAAUAAACGCAAUUACAGCC
rnacentral:lncRNA from 1 species